CCAGUCUGCAACCUGUGUUGAACCGUGAGUGAACUUCCCCGUGUCCAUAUCCGGGCCGCGUUACACAGAUGCUGUCUUACGCAGGCUGACGGCAGUCCUGGAGAAGAGAUCCAACCUCGCUCCAGCGGGAUACACACGCAGAUUUUAAUCAGGAGCGACAACUAUGGAGCAGAGCUGUGUGUGCAGCACCUCUGAGACCUGUGCUCCUGCUGGUGCUCACACUUGCAUGGAGGAGGAGAACCCUGAUCAGGCAGUGUGGAAACCUUCUGAAUGCACAAGAAGGAAAGGAAUCACUGAGAGCAGUGAGAAUAAAGUAUGAGGCUUCAGUAAGUAAGUCAACAGAGAGAAGAGGAGGAAAGGCACACGUCUGGAAGGCUGUUGGAAGUCUGCAAACUGAUGAUCAGGAAGAAGACGGGAAUGAAUAA
rnacentral:lncRNA from 1 species